AUUGAACGCUGGCGGCAUGCUUUACACAUGCAAGUCGAACGGUAACAGGCCGCAAGGUGCUGACGAGUGGCGAACGGGUGAGUAAUGCAUCGGAACGUGCCCAGUCGUGGGGGAUAACGCAGCGAAAGCUGCGCUAAUACCGCAUACGAUCUCUGGAUGAAAGCGGGGACCGAAAGGCCUCGCGCGAUUGGAGCGGCCGAUGUCAGAUUAGGUAGUUGGUGGGGUAAAGGCCCACCAAGCCAACGAUCUGUAGCUGGUCUGAGAGGACGACCAGCCACACUGGGACUGAGACACGGCCCAGACUCCUACGGGAGGCAGCAGUGGGGAAUUUUGGACAAUGGGCGCAAGCCUGAUCCAGCAAUGCCGCGUGCAGGAAGAAGGCCUUCGGGUUGUAAACUGCUUUUGUACGGAACGAAACGGUCCGGGUUAAUACCCUGGGCUAAUGACGGUACCGUAAGAAUAAGCACCGGCUAACUACGUGCCAGCAGCCGCCGUAAUAC
rnacentral:rRNA from 1 species